rnacentral:rRNA from 1 species
UGGGGAAUAUUGCACAAUGGGGGAAACCCUGAUGCAGCGACGCCGCGUGAAGGAAGAAGGUUUUCGGAUCGUAAACUUCUAUCAGCAGGGAAGAUAGUGACAGUACCUGACUAAGAAGCCCCGGCUAACUACGUGCCAGCAGCCGCGGUAAUACGUAGGGGGCAAGCGUUAUCCGGAUUUACUGGGUGUAAAGGGUGCGUAGGCGGCGGAGUAAGUCAGAUGUGAAAGCCCCAGGCUCAACCUGGGGACUGCAUUUGAAACUGCUUUGCUAGAGUGCAGGAGAGGAAAGUGGAAUUCCUAGUGUAGCGGUGAAAUGCGUAGAUAUUAGGAGGAACACCAGUGGCGAAGGCGACUUUCUGGACUGUAACUGACGCUGAGGCACGAAAGCGUGGGGAGCGAACAGGAUUAGAUACCCCCGUAGUCC